CUUUGCUUUUCUUCUGGAUUUCCUGAGGAAAUAAAUCAAGUUUUACAUUGGUAUUUUGAGUUGCUACUUCUCCAACUAAUUGUACUGACUAAAACUUACUCUGAUAAUUGGAUGACUUCACGGCAACAAUCAUGCAUGGACGUUGCGUGUUUUUUCUAGGCUUAUUGCAAAUACGAAGGGGCCAUUUGGAAAAUCCUAACAGUUGGCUAGUAUUAUGCAAACAGCCAAAGAUAUUUCAGAAGUUCAGUUCUGAGCAUUGAAAAGGCACAAGCCUGGCUUAUGUUCGUUUGCUUUUGAACCAAAAAAGUGGAUGCAGACCAAUCUAUAUAUGCUUCGUUUCUGUGCAGCGAAUUGCUCUUUCCCAGUCUCCUGUAAUUUAGCUUGUGCGUAUGGUAGCCCAUGUAGACAUUGUGACAAUAUUGACUUAGUUUGGUGAUCCUAAUGAUCAAGUAUACUUAUUCACCAAAAAUCUGGUAGUUGUUAAUUGAACCUACUCUCUGGAGUUAACUAUCAAGAGCUAGCUACCAUCACUCUGCCUCGACAACCACAAUUCAUCUGAAUAUGCUACAGGUCUUGAGUAUUUUGGUAUUAUUGAGUGAAUUCUUCUCCAUUAAAAUUAUUGAUUUCAUAGUAUUCUUCUAGAUGACUUACCCGUAGUUUGUUUUAUGAGCAAUCGCUAUGACUGAUUUUUUGUGUGUUUUAACCUCUAUCAAGUGUUCUUUAGUAAUGGUCAAGAUAGAGGAAAUAAUACACCUAAUGGAAAUUUCCAUAUUUGAAAAAAGCCAAAAGUCAAUCAAAUUG